AAAAGACUUUGCAGCACCUGGAGUUAAAGUAGAUUAUUUCAGUAAUGUAAACGCCGUAUCUUCAGUAUGUUUGUUUGGAGCACAUAAUUUCGUCCCUGUAAAUAUUCGGUAAAAGUCUAACCGUUUGCAAAAUACAGUUCUGAAGAUCAAGGCAAACCCGUGGACCAGUGGCUAUAGUUGCUUUCUCGUUUUGUGCCCGUUAAUUUUGCUGAAUGAAAACUCAUCCUGCAGCUCUAUGGCUAUAAUGUUGCUAUCUUGUUUUAUUCCAGAAACUGAUUGGCUUUCUAGAUAUUUGCCCGAUUAUAUAUUUAAAAAAAAUAUUCAUUGUAU